rnacentral:rRNA from 1 species
UACGUAGGGGGCGAGCGUUGUUCGGAAUUACUGGGCGUAAAGGGCGCGCAGGCGGCUCUGUAAGUCAGAUGUGAAAGCCCCGGGCUUAACCUGGGAAUUGCAUUUGAUACUCUGGAGCUUGAGUGUGGGAGAGGAGAGUGGAAUUCCCAGUGUAGAGGUGAAAUUCGUAGAUAUUGGGAAGAACACCGGUGGCGAAGGCGGCUCUCUGGACCACAACUGACGCUGAGGCGCGAAAGCGUGGGGAGCAAACAGG